ensembl:lncRNA
AUGCACCUGUGGAUGGAUGGACGGACGGACGGAUGGAUGGAUGCAUGGAUGGAAGGAAGCUCCUCCAGUGCGUGGUCGGCUGCGGAGGUCCCUCGUGUGCCCGGCUGCCCCGCACUGCUCUCAAUAAAUGUUUCGGUAGUGCUCCAUGCAGACGGCUCUUUGGGACCUGCUGGGGGAAGCUGCUGGGCCCAGACCCAGGCUGGGGCAGUGCUGUGUGUCUGCGGGACUGCCCCCUCCUCCUGGCUCGCUGGGCUCCAGCACCAAGGCCACGCGUGCAGCAGGGGGUGCAGUGAGGAUGGAGUAAGGAAGGGGCUUGAGACACGUGCUGCCACGCAGUGCAUGUGCAGAGAGGUCAGCACCCAUUGCACACUGGCUCCUGGGUUUUUUUUCAUGGAGGUGCAGGUGACGGAGCAGCAGGAGGGUCAGGGCUUGGGCAAACAUCUCCCUCUGAAGCAUCCCCAGCCAUGGGGGCUGCAGCUCUUUAUGACACAGGGAUCAGCGGCACUGUCUUUGAAACAGCCUGGAGCUGCCUCGCAUCCGUCCCAGCACCCUGCCUCUGCCCCUCGGAGCUGCUGCUUCCUUCCCUGGGGGGCGGUGGCUGGGCAGGGGGGAGCCGACCUGGGGCAGAGGGCUCAGCACCGCAGGAUGCAGCACAUCCUGUGGAGGAGGUGCAGAAAUCAGCUCCCCAGAGAUGUGAACGCAGGACUUCCCGGGGCCAGGCAGCCACUUUCUGACCCGUUUCUCCCCCAGCUGGCCCAGAGAGACAGCUGGCUGACCCUUGGUGCUGCGGGGGGGCUCCUUGCACACCACAGAUGGCCACCUCUGGCCUUGCACGGCCGUGGGAGGUGCAGGCAAUAUCUGCCAAGCAAAGCCGAGAAGCUGCUGUGGUGCGUGGGCAGCCGCAGGCGUGUCCCUGUCCUCUCCUCGCUUCCCGGGAGCGCCCGCAGGUUCCCAGAACGCCCGCCCACCGGGGACAAGGUUCUGGCACGCCGAGGGCUGUGGUUUGCAGUUGAAUUUUGGGAUAACUGCUUUAAGUCUGGCUCUGCGUGUGCAGAAAGCACCUACCUCCCCCCGGCCCCGGAGCCGGCCCCAGGGGGCCGGGCAGCGCUUGGUGGUGGCUCUCACCCUGCACCCAGACAAUGCGAGCUGUUGCCUUUUGGGAAGCCCUGA